rnacentral:rRNA from 1 species
CAUGCAUGUCUAAGUACAAACUUUUUAUAAAAGUGAAACCGCGAAAGGCUCAUUAAAUCAGUUAUGGUUCCUUAGAUGGUACCCACAUUUACUUGGAUAACUGUGGUAAUUCUAGAGCUAAUACAUGCAAACUGAGCUCCAACCGGUGACGGAAGGAGUGCUUUUAUUAGAUCAAAACCAAUACGGCGGCGACUAUUGUUUUAUUACUUUAGUUCGUACGUCGCAAAUAUUGGUGACUCUGAGUAACUUAUGCUGAUCGUACGGUCUAGUACCGACGACGCAUCUUUCAAAUGUCUGCCUUAUCAACUGUCGAUGGUAGGAUCUGCGCCUACCAUGGUUGUAACGGGUAACGGGGAAUCAGGGUUCGAUUCCGGAGAGGGAGCCUGAGAAACGGCUACCACAUCCAAGGAAGGCAGCAGGCACGCAAAUUACCCACUCCCAGCACGGGGAGGUAGUGACGAAAAAUAACGAUACGGGACUCAUCCGAGGCCCCGUAAUCGGAAUGAGUACACUUUAAAUCCUUUAACGAGGAUCUAUUGGAGGGCAAGUCUGGUGCCAGCAGCCGCGGUAAUUCCAGCUCCAAUAGCGUAUAUUAAAGUUGUUGCGGUUAAAAAGCUCGUAGUUGAAUUUGUGUCCCGUGCUGUCGGUACACUGCCCGCAGUGUUUAACUGGCAUGUUUCACGGGACGUCCUGCCGGUGGAUGCGUCAUACUUUAUACGUGUACUUACCAUACACAUAAUUUACCAUUUUGUGAUAAUAACAUUGCAAUUAAAACAUUUCAUAUUAUGUUGUCGGUGCACGACUCUUUAUUAAAAUUAAUCAUAUUAUGGUUCCCCAUUAAAAUUAUUGGUGCACGAUUUUAUCGUUGUUUAUCAAUAUUUUAUAUGGUCAUAAUUGAUUAAAAAGAUGUUCGUUGUUUAUCGCUCAUUAUGUUAUGUGCUUUGUUUUAUUAUCCGGUUUAUUAUGUUUAAAUGUAUGGGGUCCGUAUAUUUGUUAUGCCAUCCAGACUCAUAAAUCCUGUCGCGGUGCUCUUAAUCGAGUGUCGAGGCAGGCCGGCACAUUUACUUUGAACAAAUUAGAGUGCUCAAAGCAGGCCAAAAUUAUGCCUGAAUACAAUUAUGCAUGGAAUAAUGGAAUAGGACCUCGGUUCUAUUUUGUUGGUUUUUUGGAACAAUGAGGUAAUGAUUAAUAGGGACAGAUGGGGGCAUUCGUAUUGCGACGUUAGAGGUGAAAUUCUUGGAUCGUCGCAAGACGGACUAAAGCGAAAGCAUUUGCCAAAAAUGUUUUCAUUAAUCAAGAGCGAAAGUCAGAGGUUCGAAGGCGAUCAGAUACCGCCCUAGUUCUGACCAUAAACGAUGCCAGCUAGCGAUCCGCCGAAGUUCCUCCGAUGACUCGGCGGGCAGCUUACGGGAAACCAAAGCUUUUGGGUUCCGGGGGAAGUAUGGUUGCAAAGCUGAAACUUAAAGGAAUUGACGGAAGGGCACCACCAGGAGUGGAGCCUGCGGCUUAAUUUGACUCAACACGGGAAACCUCACCAGGCCCAGACACUGGAAGGAUUGACAGAUUGAGAGCUCUUUCUUGAUUCAGUGGGUGGUGGUGCAUGGCCGUUCUUAGUUGGUGGAGUGAUUUGUCUGGUUAAUUCCGAUAACGAACGAGACUCUAACCUGCUAACUAGGCGUAUUUAACCGGUAUCCUGAAGGCUCGUGUUCACCGCAUUAACUGGUGAUCGGUACCCCAUUGUGUUCUACAUCACACAUAUAUGUGAGGUUGUAUGGGCAUCUAUGAUGUUUCGUCUUAAUUGACGUUCUUAUAGUUGUACCGCUACCUAUUCAAACACAUUAUGUUGUUUGUUAGUUCACUGGGUUCUUGUCCGUGAUCUGGGCGGUCUGUUCACGGUUUUUACUACCGGCGUACACAUAAAUCUUCUUAGAGGGACUGGCGGCAUCUAGCCGCACGAGAUUGAGCAAUAACAGGUCUGUGAUGCCCUUAGAUGUUCUGGGCCGCACGCGCGCUACACUGAAGGAAUCAGCGUGUAAUUCCUUGGCCGAAAGGUCCGGGUAAACCGUUGAAUCUCCUUCGUGCUAGGGAUUGGGGAUUGCAAUUAUUCCCCAUGAACGAGGAAUUCCCAGUAAGCGCGAGUCAUAAGCUUGCGUUGAUUACGUCCCUGCCCUUUGUACACACCGCCCGUCGCUACUACCGAUUGAAUGAUUUAGUGAGGUCUCCGGACCGGCACCCGGCGGUGUUUCGAUAUCGCCGAUGCGUCGCUGGGAAGUUGACCAAACUUGGUCAUUUAGAGGAAGUAAAAGUCGUAACAAGGUUUCCGU